GGUUCGAUCCUGGCUCAGAUUGAACGCUGGCGGGAUGCUUUACACAUGCAAGUCGAACGGCAGCACGGACUUCGGUCUGGUGGCGAGUGGCGAACGGGUGAGUAAUGUAUCGGAACGUACCUGAGUAGCCGGGGAUAACUACGCGAAAGCGUAGCUACCCAUGCCACAUACGCCCUUCGGGGAAAGCGGGGACCUUCGGGCCUCGCACUAUUAGAGCGGCCGAUAUCGGAUUAGCUAGUUGGUGGGGUAACGGCUCACCAAGGCGACGAUCCGUAGCUGGUUUGAGAGGACGACCAACCACACUGGGACUGAGACACGGCCCAGACUCCUACAGGGAGGCAGCAGUGGGAAUUUUGGACAAUGGGAAACCCUGAUCCAGCCAUCGCGUGUGCGAUGAUGAGCCCCCUUCGGGUUGUAAAGCACUUUUGGCAGGAAAGAAACGGCACGGGAUAAUACCCGUGCAACUGACAGUACCACAGAAUAAGCACCGGCUAACUACGUGCCAGCAGCCGCGGUAAUACGUAGGGUGCAAGCGUUAAUCGGAAUUCACGGGCGUAAAGCGUGCGCGGGCGGUUCGGAAGAAAGAUGUAAUCCCAGAGCUUAACUUUGGAACUGCAUUUUUAACUACCGAGCUAGAGUGUGUCAGAGGGAGGUGGAAUUCCGCGUGUAGCAGUGAAAUGCGUAGAUAUGCGGAGGAACACCGAUGGCGAAGGCGGCCUCCUGGGAUAACACUGACGCUCAUGCACGAAAGCGUGGGAGCAAACAGGAUUAGAUACCCUGGUAGUCCACGCCCUAAACGAUGUCAACUAGCUGUUGGGGCCUUCGGGCCGCUUGGUAGCGCAGCUAACGCGUGAAGUUGGCCGCCUGGGGAAAUGCGAUCGCAAGAUUAAAACUCAAAGGAAUUGACGGGGACCCGCACAAGCGGUGGAUGAUGUGGAUUAAUUCGAUGCAACGCGAAAAGCCUUACCUACCCUUGACAUGUCUGGAAUCCCGAAGAGAUUUGGGAGUGCUCGCAAGAGAACCGGAACACAGGUGCUGCAUGGCUGUCGUCAGCUCGUGUCGUGAGAUGUUGGGUUAAGUCCCGCAACGAGCGCAACCCUUGUGUUAGUUGCUACGAGGCACUCUAAUGAGACUGCCGGUGACAAACCGGAGGAAGGUGGGGAUGACGUCAAGUCCUCAUGGCCCUUAUGGUGGGGCUUCACACGUCAUACAAUGGUCGGGACAGAGGGUCGCCAACCCGCGAGGGCCAACCCCAGAAACCCGAUCGUAGUCGGAUCGCAGUCUGCAACUCGACUGCGUGAAGUCGGAAUCGCUAGUAAUCGCGGAUCAGCAUGUCGCGGUGAAUACGUUCCCGGGUCUUGUACACACCGCCCGUCACACCAUGAGGUGGGUUUUACCAAAGUAGUUAGCCUAACCGUAAGGAGGGCGAUUACCACGGUAGGAUUCAUGACUGGGGUGAAGUCGUAACAAGGUAG
rnacentral:rRNA from 1 species